rnacentral:sRNA from 1 species
GCUGGGCCAGUUGGCACAUGCCUGUAGUCCCAACUAUUUGGGAGGCUGAGGCAGGAGGAUUGCCUGAGUCCAGGAGUUGGAGGCCAGCCUGAGCAACAGAGCCAGAACUUAUCUCAA